AAACCAUGAUAGGGGCACUGCCUUUGUAAAUCCUUGAAUUUCUUUUAAGUUUUAUAUAAAGACUCAUCAUCCCUUUGGUAAAAAGUAGCGAUCUCAUUUCUCAAUUU